rnacentral:rRNA from 1 species
CCUACGGGUGGCAGCAGUGAGGAAUAUUGGUCAAUGGACGAGAGUCUGAACCAGCCAAGUAGCGUGAAGGAUGACUGCCCUAUGGGUUGUAAACUUCUUUUAUAUGGGAAUAAAACGUUCCACGUGUGGGAUUUUGUAUGUACCAUAUGAAUAAGGAUCGGCUAACUCCGUGCCAGCAGCCGCGGUAAUACGGAGGAUCCGAGCGUUAUCCGGAUUUAUUGGGUUUAAAGGGAGCGUAGGUGGAUUGUUAAGUCAGUUGUGAAAGUUUGCGGCUCAACCGUAAAAUUGCAGUUGAAACUGGCAGUCUUGAGUACAGUAGAGGUGGGCGGAAGUCGGGGUGUAGCGGUGAAAUGCUUAGAGAUCACGAAGAACUCCGAUUGCGAAGGCAGUUCACUGGACUGCAACUGACACUGAGGCUCGAAAGUGUGGGUAUCAAACAGGAUUAGAUACCCGUGUAGUC